rnacentral:misc_RNA from 1 species
GAGAAACCGUAUGUGUCGAGAAGUGCACGUACGGUUCGGAGGCAAGCACACAAAAACCUGCCGCUACCGGUAAGGCAUUGUGUGCUUAGCCUAC